rnacentral:rRNA from 1 species
UACGUAGGGGGCGAGCGUUGUCCGGAUUUAUUGGGCGUAAAGAGCGUGUAGGCGGCCAGGUAGGUCCGUUGUGAAAACUCGAGGCUCAACCUCGAGACGUCGGCGGAAACCCUCUGGCUAGAGUCCGGAAGAGGAGAGUGGAAUUCCUGGUGUAGCGGUGGAAUGCGCAGAUAUCAGGAGGAACACCGAUGGCGAAGGCAGCUCGCUGGGACGGUACUGACGCUGAGGCGCGAAAGCGUGGGGAGCAAACAGG